UUAAUGUAGAGAAUCAUAUGCAAGACAAAUCCCAAACCUUUUUUCCAUCGUCCAGAUCGUGUCAAAGGCUGGGCAUCCAGCUGCUUUGCCCCUCUCCAUCUGAUGUUGCCCCCUUGGCAGUUCUAUCACCACUGUGAAAGGGCUGGAGCUUUUUGGCGUCAAACUUAGUGAUGCUUCAAAGAAAUUGGGGAAAAAGUUUGCUACCGGAGCCUUUGUUGUUAAGUGUUCAGAGGGUUUCAUGCAUACAAGGAUGAGACGUCGUGUGGAAUCUUUGAUUGAGGCUCCUGAUCGUGCUAAACCCGGCAUGGAAGAUGGAAAGAACGCUGCUCAAAGUAGAUCCUUCAAACGGCUGAGCCUGAAGGAAGCCAGGACCAAUUCAAGCUAAAAUAGGCAUGGUAACCAGACAGCAAAGGGGACAUGCUCCUACCGGACCUCAAGAAAGAAUGUCGUCAAACGAAUUGCUCGAAGAUAUUAGAGAACCAUUGUUGAUGCAAGUACAAGUGGUAUUUGAUUUCUCUAGAAGUGUAAAAGAGAAGAAUAUAUACGUGCGCUUAUGUACUUUAUGAACAAAUCGUUGUUUUGUUAAAUUACAACAUUGGAUGGUCACAUAUAUUAUUAUGCGAUUGAUAAGUACAAACUAUAAUUUUUAUUUAAUUCCA